rnacentral:rRNA from 1 species
CGACCGGCGCACGGGUGAGUAACACGUAUGCAACCUGGCCGUCACAAGUGGAUAACCGGAAGAAAUUCCGACUAAUACAGCAUAACACUCCUGAGGGACAUCCCUUGGGAGUCAAAGGAGGCAACUCCGGUGACGGAUGGGCAUGCGGCGCAUUAGGUAGUUGGUAGGGUAACGGCCUACCAAGCCGACGAUGCGUAGGGGUUCUGAGAGGAAGGUCCCCCACAUUGGAACUGAGACACGGUCCAAACUCCUACGGGAGGCAGCAG